rnacentral:rRNA from 1 species
GACGAACGCUGGCGGCGUGCUUAACACAUGCAAGUCGAACGGAAAGGCCCUGCUUGCAGGGUACUCGAGUGGCGAACGGGUGAGUAACACGUGGGUGAUCUGCCCUGCACUUCGGGAUAAGCCUGGGAAACUGGGUCUAAUACCGGAUAGGAGCCAUUUUUAGUGUGAUGGUUAGAAAGUUUUUUCGGUGUAGGAUGAGCUCGCGGCCUAUCAGCUUGUUGGUGGGGUAAUGGCCUACCAAGGCGGCGACGGGUAGCCGGCCUGAGAGGGUGGACGGCCACAUUGGGACUGAGAUACGGCCCAGACUCCUACGGGAGGCAGCAGUGGGGAAUAUUGCACAAUGGGCGCAAGCCUGAUGCAGCGACGCCGCGUGGGGGAUGACGGCCUUCGGGUUGUAAACUCCUUUCGCUAGGGACGAAGCUUUUUGUGACGGUACCUAGAUAAGAAGCACCGGCUAACUACGUG